AUUGAACGCUGGCGGCAGGCCUAACACAUGCAAGUCGAGCGGAUGAAGGGAGCUUGCUCCUGGCUUCAGCGGCGGACGGGUGUGUAAUGCCUAGGAAUCUGCCUGGUCGUGGGGGAUAACGUCCGGUAACGGGCGCUAAUACCGCAUACGUCCUGAGGGAGAAAGUGGGGGAUCUUCGGACCUCACGCUCUCAGAUGAGCCUAGGUCGGAUUAGCUAGUUGGUGGGGUAAAGGCCUACCAAGGCGACGAUCCGUAACUGGUCUGAGAGGAUGAUCAGUCACACUGGAACUGAGACACGGUCCAGACUCCUACGGGAGGCAGCAGUGGGGAAUAUUGGACAAUGGGCGAAAGCCUGAUCCAGCCAUGCCGCGUGUGUGAAGAAGGUCUUCGGAUUGUAAAGCACUUUAAGUUGGGAGGAAGGGCAGUAAGUUAACACCUUGCUGUUUUGACGUUACCAACAGAAUAAGCACCGGCUAACUUCGUG
rnacentral:rRNA from 1 species